rnacentral:rRNA from 1 species
GACAGAGGGUGCGAGCGUUGUCCGGAAUCACUGGGCGUAAAGGGCGCGUAGGUGGCCCGACAAGUCAAUGGUGAAAGCUCGACGCUCAACGUCGAGUCGGCCACUGAUACUGUUGGGCUGGAGCACUGUAGAGGCUCAUGGAAUUCCGGGUGUAGCGGUGGAAUGCGUAGAGAUCCGGAAGAACACCGGUGGCGAAGGCGGUGAGCUGGGCAGUAGCUGACACUGAGGCGCGACAGCGUGGGGAGCAAACAGG